ACUUAAAUUGAAGAGUUUGAUCAUGGCUCAGAUUGAACGCUGGCGGCAGGCCUAACACAUGCAAGUCGAGCGGUAGCACAGAGAGCUUGCUCUCGGGUGACGAGCGGCGGACGGGUGAGUAAUGUCUGGGAAACUGCCUGAUGGAGGGGGAUAACUACUGGAAACGGUAGCUAAUACCGCAUAACGUCGCAAGACCAAAGUGGGGGACCUUCGGGCCUCAUGCCAUCAGAUGUGCCCAGAUGGGAUUAGCUAGUAGGUGGGGUAACGGCUCACCUAGGCGACGAUCCCUAGCUGGUCUGAGAGGAUGACCAGCCACACUGGAACUGAGACACGGUCCAGACUCCUACGGGAGGCAGCAGUGGGGAAUAUUGCACAAUGGGCGCAAGCCUGAUGCAGCCAUGCCGCGUGUGUGAAGAAGGCCUUCGGGUUGUAAAGCACUUUCAGCGGGGAGGAAGGCGGUGAGGUUAAUAACCUCACCGAUUGACGUUACCCGCAGAAGAAGCACCGGCUAACUCCGUGCCAGCAGCCGCGGUAAUACGGAGGGUGCAAGCGUUAAUCGGAAUUACUGGGCGUAAAGCGCACGCAGGCGGUCUGUCAAGUCGGAUGUGAAAUCCCCGGGCUCAACCUGGGAACUGCAUUCGAAACUGGCAGGCUAGAGUCUUGUAGAGGGGGGUAGAAUUCCAGGUGUAGCGGUGAAAUGCGUAGAGAUCUGGAGGAAUACCGGUGGCGAAGGCGGCCCCCUGGACAAAGACUGACGCUCAGGUGCGAAAGCGUGGGGAGCAAACAGGAUUAGAUACCCUGGUAGUCCACGCUGUAAACGAUGUCGAUUUGGAGGUUGUGCCCUUGAGGCGUGGCUUCCGGAGCUAACGCGUUAAAUCGACCGCCUGGGGAGUACGGCCGCAAGGUUAAAACUCAAAUGAAUUGACGGGGGCCCGCACAAGCGGUGGAGCAUGUGGUUUAAUUCGAUGCAACGCGAAGAACCUUACCUGGUCUUGACAUCCACAGAACUUUCCAGAGAUGGAUUGGUGCCUUCGGGAACUGUGAGACAGGUGCUGCAUGGCUGUCGUCAGCUCGUGUUGUGAAAUGUUGGGUUAAGUCCCGCAACGAGCGCAACCCUUAUCCUUUGUUGCCAGCGGUUAGGCCGGGAACUCAAAGGAGACUGCCAGUGAUAAACUGGAGGAAGGUGGGGAUGACGUCAAGUCAUCAUGGCCCUUACGACCAGGGCUACACACGUGCUACAAUGGCAUAUACAAAGAGAAGCGACCUCGCGAGAGCAAGCGGACCUCAUAAAGUAUGUCGUAGUCCGGAUUGGAGUCUGCAACUCGACUCCAUGAAGUCGGAAUCGCUAGUAAUCGUAGAUCAGAAUGCUACGGUGAAUACGUUCCCGGGCCUUGUACACACCGCCCGUCACACCAUGGGAGUGGGUUGCAAAAGAAGUAGGUAGCUUAACCUUCGGGAGGGCGCUUACCACUUUGUGAUUCAUGACUGGGGUGAAGUCGUAACAAGGUAACCGUAGGGGAACCUGCGGUUGGAUCACCUCCUUACCUUAAAGAA
rnacentral:rRNA from 1 species